ensembl:lncRNA
AACAUAUCACAAAUAAUCAGCUGCCGUUGUCAAGACAACCAGAUUAUGUAUCUUUUUCAUUUUUUACCUUUAUUUAACUGAUACGGCUUAACCUAUACAUGUAUUGAUUAUAGAUCUCCUAAACAUUGGUAUUGAAGGUAGUCAUUUAUAGAUUAUAGAUCUCCUUAACGUUGGUAUUGAAGGUAGUCAUUUAUAGAUUAUAGAUCUCCUUAACGUUGGUAUUGAAGGUAGUCAUGUAUUUUAGAUGAACACAGUUUUUUAAUAGCAAGGGAGUGCAGUAGACUAGUGUACGCUGAAGAGGUUAUUUUCCAGGGUAGUAAAAUUACACUGAUAGAUGACAUUAUUGAUUAGGCCUAAUGAUUUAUGUCUCAGUAUCAGGCUCAACCAUUUUCAAUCGGUCACAAAAGGCUACUUGUGCACCCCAUUCCCUUAAUAGUGCACUACCCUAUGGGCCCUGGUCAAAAGUAGGGCACUAUAUAGGGAAUAGGGUGCCAUUUGCUACAAAUCAAAAAGUCAAGUUGGUCGAUUUGAAUAAAUGAAUGUGUUUUAUACAAACACCGCAAGUGCAUUGUGCUGUUGGUUUUCAUAGAAUGUGUCCAGCAUAAAACAAGCAAGAACUCCCUAAACAACGCAGAGAGUUCAUCUGAAGACCGGACUCCCUAAACAACAAGACCGGGGGCCAAAAAGUAGUACACUGUGAAGGGAAGUGUUUUUAACGAAACCUCUCCUCUUAGGGCACACCAAAAACACCUCAACACCUCACCAGGAGAAGGCCCGAGUCUCAAAUGAUUCCCUAUUCCCUAGAAAAGCGCACUUCUUUAAAAAAAAUUUUUAAACCCAGGGCCCUGUCAAAAGGUGUGCUCUUUAAUAGGGGAUAGGGUGCUAUUUUGGGAUACACACUAAAUAUGUAGUUUAGAAUACUCCUUUAUCAAUUUGUUAAGUCAUCAAUCAUGCCAGCUGCUUCUCUCAAAAAGGAGAAAAUAAAAGGAUCAUUGGUGAGUUUAAAUAGAAGAGGAGAAUCCCUCUCGGCAUCAUGUUCAUGUACAAUGUGUUUAGUGUUUCAUGUGUAACAUCAGUAGAAAGCUGUUAAUAUUACUGUAUGUACAGAUAAGUCACUCUACCUAACUAAACGUCCAUAUACAGUGCAUUCGGAAAGUACUCAGACCCCUUUCCUUAUUCCACAUUGUCACAGUACAGCCUUAUUCUAAAAUGGAUUGAAAUUAAAACAGCAAUCUACACACAAUACUGUUAAGGGAUUUUUAUCAAUAGUGACUAAAUUAUGUAUACAUUACAAUCAGAACUAUGACUAAACAGAAUACUAUUAUGUUACUGUAUGGAUGUAUGAAUCUUAUUAUAAUAUACCGAAUAUAAUGAAUAUA